rnacentral:lncRNA from 1 species
AGAUGGCAGGGGGCGGGCUCGUCGCGUGGCCCCGCCCUCUCCGGUCAGCGGUUGCCGGGAGGGCGGCGCCCGGGCCGCGGCUGCGGCGGCUCCUCAGGUCUGAAGAGAGGCGUCCAUGUUCACACCAGGAGGUGAAAAGAAGCUGGAGCCACAGUGAUGAGUGAGACCUACGUGAAGAGGCUGUCCACCAUCCUGCUGGACGCCAUCACUGACAAGGACCCUCGGGUGCAGGAGCAGGUAUGUGGCGCCCUGUGCGCCCUCGGAGAGUCGCAGCCAGCGGAGGUGCUUAGCGCCUGUGAGGAGCACCUGCGGCUGCACGAAAAGGUAUUGCUCCUCACUCCGCGGAUGGGGUGAGGCCUGCGGGGAGGGGCCUGUGGUGAGGGAUGGGACCUGUGGGUGGGGUUCGUGGCGAGAGGCGGGGUCUGUGGUGGGGCGGGGCCUUUGGUGGGGGG